rnacentral:rRNA from 1 species
GAAAACUCGCUACGUGUAGCGAUCUGACGGUAGUGUAUGAAUAAGCAUCGGCUAACUCCGUGCCAGCAGCCGCGGUAAUACGGAGGAUGCAAGCGUUAUCCGGAUUCAUUGGGUUUAAAGGGUGCGUAGGCGGCCUUUUAAGUCAGUGGUGAAAUCCUGCCGCUUAACGGUAGAAUUGCCAUUGAUACUGAAAGGCUUGAGUUCAGUUGAGGUAAGCGGAAUGUGUAGUGUAGCGGUGAAAUGCUUAGAUAUUACACAGAACACCAAUUGCGAAGGCAGCUUACUAAACUGACACUGACGCUGAUGCACGAAAGCGUGGGGAGCGAACAGGAUUAGAUACCCUGGUAGACCACGCCGUAAACGAU